rnacentral:rRNA from 1 species
AGAGAUCAUGGCUCAGGAUGAACGCUAGCGGCAGGCUUAAUACAUGCAAGUCGAGGGGCAGCAGGGGUGUAGCAAUACACUCGCUGGCGACCGGCAAACGGGUGCGGAACACGUACGCAACUUACCCAAAACUGGGGAAUAGCCCGGGGAAACCCGGAUUAAUACCUCGUAACAUAAUGAAGUGGCAUCACUUUAUUAUUAUAGCUCCGGCGGUUUUGGAUGGGCGUGCGCCUGAUUAGGUAGUUGGCGGGGUAACGGCCCACCAAGCCUACGAUCAGUAACUGGUGUGAGAGCACGACCAGUCACACGGGCACUGAGACACGGGCCCGACUCCUACGGGAGGCAGCAGUAAGGAAUAUUGGUCAAUGGACGCAAGUCUGAACCAGCCAUGCCGCGUGAAGGAUGAAGGUCCUCUGGAUUGUAAACUUCUUUUAUAUGGGAAGAAAUUCCCGCAUUCUUGCGGGAUUGACGGUACCAUAGGAAUAAGCACCGGCUAACUCCGUGCCAGCAGCCGCGGUAAUACGGAGGGUGCAAGCGUUAUCCGGAUUCACUGGGUUUAAAGGGUGCGUAGGAGGGCAGGUAAGUCAGUGGUGAAAUCUCCAAGCUUAACUUGGAAACUGCCGUUGAUACUAUCUGUCUUGAAUACCGUGGAGGUGAGCGGAAUAUGUCAUGUACCGGUGAAAUGCUUAGAUAUGACAUAGAACACCAAUUGCGAAGGCAGCUCGCUACACUAAUAUUGACUCUGAGGCACGAAAGCGUGUGGGAUCAAACAGGAUUAGAUACCCUUG